rnacentral:rRNA from 1 species
GUGCCAGCAGCCGCGGUAAUACGGAGGGUGCAAGCGUUGUCCGGAUUUAUUGGGUUUAAAGGGUGCGUAGGCGGGCCUUUAAGUCAGUGGUGAAAGCCUGCAGCUUAACUGUAGAACUGCCAUUGAUACUGGAGGCCUUGAGUGUACUAGAGGUAGGCGGAAUUUAUGGUGUAGCGGUGAAAUGCAUAGAUACCAUAAAGAACACCGAUAGCGUAGGCAGCUUACUGGAGUACAACUGACGCUGAGGCACGAAAGCAUGGGGAGCGAACAGGAUUAGAUACCCUGGUAGUCCAUGCCGUAACGAUGAUUACUCGAUGUUGGCGAUACACUGUCAGCGUCCAAGCGAAAGCGUUAAGUAAUCCACCUGGGGAGUACGCUCGCAAGAGUGAAACUCAAAGGAAUUGACGG